CUUGAUCGAGCCGAGCCACAGUGGUCGGUCGUCGGGGCGAUUCUGACCGUAGGUGGCGAGCAGGGCCUGCGCCUC
rnacentral:antisense_RNA from 1 species